AACGAACGCUGGCGGCAUGCCUAACACAUGCAAGUCGAACGAGACCUUCGGGUCUAGUGGCGCACGGGUGCGUAACGCGUGGGAACCUGCCCUUAGGUUCGGAAUAACUCCCCGAAAGGGGUGCUAAAACCGGAUAAUGUCUUCGGACCAAAGAUUUAUCGCCUUUGGAUGGGCCCGCGUGGGAUUAGCUAGUUGGUAGGGUAAAAGCCUACCAAGGCGACGAUCCAUAGCUGGUCUGAGAGGAUGAUCAGCCACACUGGGACUGAGACACGGCCCAGACUCCUACGGGAGGCAGCAGUGGGGAAUAUUGGACCCUGGGCGAAAGCCUGAUCCAGCACUGCCGCGUGAGUGAUGAAGGCCUUAGGGUUGUAAAGCUCUUUUACCCGGGAUGAUAAUGACAGUACCGGGAGAAUAAGCUCCGGCUAACUCCGUG
rnacentral:rRNA from 1 species